rnacentral:rRNA from 1 species
GAUGAACGCUGGCGGCGUGCCUAAUACAUGCAAGUCGAACGAAACUUCUUUAUCACCGAGUGCUUGCACUCACCGAUAAAGAGUUGAGUGUCGAACGGGUGAGUAACACGUUGGCAACCUGCCCAAAAGAGGGGGAUAACACUUGGAAACAGGUGCUAAUACCGCAUAACCAUAGUUACCGCAUGGUAACUAUGUAAAAGGUGGCUAUACUACCGCUUUUGGAUGGGCCCGCGGCGCAUUAGCUAGUUGGUAGGGUAAAGGCUUACCAAGGCAAUGAUGCGUAGCCGAAUUGAGAGGUUGAUCGGCCACAUUGGGACUGAGACACGGCCCAAACUCCUACGGGAGGCAGCAGUAGGGAAUCUUCCACAAUGGGCGAAAGCCUGAUGGAGCAACGCCGCGUGGGUGAAGAAGGUCUUCGGAUCGUAAAACCCUGUUGUUAGAGAAGAAAGUGCGUGAGAGUAACUGUUCACGUUUCGACGGUAUCUAACCAGAAAGCCACUGCUAACUACGUG